GUGUAUGGCCAUACCACUCUGAAUGCGCCCGAUCUCGUCUGAUCUCAGAAGCUAAGCAGGGUCGGACCUGGUUAGUACUUGGAUGGGAUUUUGUUAAAAUAACUGCUUGCUUGUCACU
ensembl:rRNA 5S_rRNA 5S ribosomal RNA